AUUCGACGCAUUUUAUUAUCUUAUGAGGAUCCGCAGGUGGUGGAUAAAAUUUUUCUUCUAAUAACUUCAAGCAAUUUAGAGAUAAACAAUGAAUACGAUUGAAAGGAUCUUAUGUAACACAUUAACGCGUAACUCGUUGAAAAGAAAGGUAAAUGAUAAUAUAACGAGUGCAAUAAGAGUGCAACAAUUUGGGAUGAAAUAAUUCAAGGGAAAAGAAAUAAAAAAAAGAGAAGACACUAAAUAAAAUAUCAAUUCUUUGAAAGCCCGUAUAAUAUGCGACCUCGUUGCCGUAAUUUCACUUUCAUUAUCUGCCGUUCAGAUAAAACUAUGAGAGCAUCUAAAAGAUACGCUGGUAUAAAAUGCAAAAAUAAUACGGCAAGCCAAUGUAAAAUUCUC